rnacentral:rRNA from 1 species
CCUACGGGGGGCAGCAGUGAGGAAUAUUGGUCAAUGGGCGGGAGCCUGAACCAGCCAAGCCGCGUGAGGGAAGAAGGUACAGCGUAUCGUAAACCUCUUUUGUCAGGGAACAAAGGCGGGGACUAGUCCCCGGCUGAGGGUACCUGACGAAAAAGCAUCGGCUAACUCCGUGCCAGCAGCCGCGGUAAUACGGAGGAUGCGAGCGUUAUCCGGAUUUAUUGGGUUUAAAGGGUGCGCAGGCGGCCUGUUAAGUCAGCGGUAAAAGCCCGGGGCUCAACCCCGGCGAGCCGUGGAAACUGGCGGGCUGGAGUGGGAGAGAAGUACGCGGAAUGCGCGGUGUAGCGGGGAAAUGCUUAGAUAUCGCGCAGAACCCCGAUUGCGAAGGCAGCGUACCGGGUCCAAACUGACGCUGGGGCACGAAAGCGUGGGUAUCGAACAGGAUUAGAUACCCUUGUAGUC